rnacentral:rRNA from 1 species
AGCGAACGCUGGCGGCAUGCCUAACACAUGCAAGUCGAACGAACUCUUCGGGGUUAGUGGCGGACGGGUGAGUAACACGUGGGAACGUGCCUUUUGGUUCGGAAUAACUCAGGGAAACUUGUGCUAAUACCGAAUGUGCCCUUCGGGGGAAAGAUUUAUCGCCAUUAGAUCGGCCCGCGUCUGAUUAGCUAGUUGGUGAGGUAACGGCUCACCAAGGCGACGAUCAGUAGCUGGUCUGAGAGGAUGACCAGCCACACUGGGACUGAGACACGGCCCAGACUCCUACGGGAGGCAGCAGUGGGGAAUCUUGCGCAAUGGGCGAAAGCCUGACGCAGCCAUGCCGCGUGAAUGAUGAAGGUCUUAGGAUUGUAAAAUUCUUUCACCGGGGACGAUAAUGACGGUACCCGGAGAAGAAGCCCCGGCUAACUUCGUG